GAUGAACGCUGGCGGCGUGCCUAAUACAUGCAAGUCGAGCGAACAGAUGAGGAGCUUGCUCCUCUGACGUUAGCGGCGGACGGGUGAGUAACACGUGGAUAACCUACCUAUAAGACUGGGAUAACUUCGGGAAACCGGAGCUAAUACCGGAUAAUAUAUUGAACCGCAUGGUUCAAUAGUGAAAGACGGUUUUGCUGUCACUUAUAGAUGGAUCCGCGCCGCAUUAGCUAGUUGGUAAGGUAACGGCUUACCAAGGCAACGAUGCGUAGCCGACCUGAGAGGGUGAUCGGCCACACUGGAACUGAGACACGGUCCAGACUCCUACGGGAGGCAGCAGUAGGGAAUCUUCCGCAAUGGGCGAAAGCCUGACGGAGCAACGCCGCGUGGGUGAUGAAGGUCUUCGGAUCGUAAAACUCUGUUAUUAGGGAAGAACAAAUGUGUAAGUAACUAUGCACGUCUUGACGGUACCUAAUCAGAAAGCCACGGCUAACUACGUG
rnacentral:rRNA from 1 species